rnacentral:tRNA from 1 species
GGGUUGUAAGCAUAGUCACGCGAUGCAGCCGGCUCUUAUCCGGCAGAACCAGGUGCGAUUCCUGGACGACCCACCA